rnacentral:rRNA from 1 species
CCUACGGGUGGCAGCAGUGGGGAAUAUUGGACAAUGGGGGCAACCCUGAUCCAGCCAUGCCGCGUGUGUGAAGAAGGCCCUCGGGUUGUAAAGCACUUUCAGUGAGGAAGAACGCCUGGUGGUUAAUACCCAUCAGGAAAGACAUCACUCACAGAAGAAGCACCGGCUAACUCCGUGCCAGCAGCCGCGGUAAUACGGAGGGUGCGAGCGUUAAUCGGAAUUACUGGGCGUAAAGCGCGCGUAGGUGGCUUGAUAAGCCGGUUGUGAAAGCCCCGGGCUCAACCUGGGAACGGCAUCCGGAACUGUCAAGCUAGAGUGCAGGAGAGGAAGGUAGAAUUCCCGGUGUAGCGGUGAAAUGCCUAGAGAUCGGGAGGAAUACCAGUGGCGAAGGCGGCCUUCUGGACUGACACUGACACUGAGGUGCGAAAGCGUGGGUAGCAAACAGGAUUAGAUACCCGUGUAGUC